GCUUCAUGAGUAUAUCAGUACGUUCGGCUUCCAAUCGGAAAGUUUUUGUGAUCAAUCAAAAAUGAAGUA
rnacentral:tRNA from 1 species